UACGGGGGGUGCGAGCGUUGUCCGGAAUCACUGGGCGUAAAGGGCGCGUAGGUGGUUUGAUAAGGGUGUGGUGAAAGUCCGGGGCUCAACCCCGGGUCUGCCGUGCCGACUGUCAAACUCGAGGACUGUAGAGGCAGACGGAAUUCCGGGUGUAGCGGUGGAAUGCGUAGAGAUCCGGAGGAAGACCGGUGGCGAAGGCGGUCUGCUGGGCAGUUUCUGACACUGAGGCGCGACAGCGUGGGGAGCAAACAGG
rnacentral:rRNA from 1 species